rnacentral:rRNA from 1 species
GUCCUAGCCGUAAACGUUGGAUGCUAGGUGUGGGGGACAUCGACCCCCUCCGUGCCGAAGCUAACGCAUUAAGCAUCCCGCCUGGGGAGUACGGCCGCAAGGCUAAAAACUCAAAGGAAUUGACGGGGGCCCGCACAAGCGGCGGAGCAUGUGGCUUAAUUCGAUGCGACGCGAAGAACCUUACCUGGGCUUGACAUGCGGGGUGAAAACCGUGGAAACACGGCGCUCUUCGGAGCCCGCACAGGUGGUGCAUGGCUGUCGU